GACGAACGCUGGCGGCGUGCCUAAUACAUGCAAGUAGAACGCACAGUUUAUACCGUAGCUUGCUACACCAUAAACUGUGAGUUGCGAACGGGUGAGUAACGCGUAGGUAACCUGCCUGGUAGCGGGGGAUAACUAUUGGAAACGAUAGCUAAUACCGCAUAAUAUUGAUUAUUGCAUGAUAAUUGAUUGAAAGAUGCUAUUGCAUCACUACCAGAUGGACCUGCGUUGUAUUAGCUAGUAGGUGAGGUAACGGCUCACCUAGGCGACGAUACAUAGCCGACCUGAGAGGGUGAUCGGCCACACUGGGACUGAGACACGGCCCAGACUCCUACGGGAGGCAGCAGUAGGGAAUCUUCGGCAAUAGACGAAAGUCUGACCGAGCAACGCCGCGUGAGUGAAGAAGGUUUUCGGAUCGGAAAGCUCUGUUGUAAGAGAAGAACGGGUGUGAGAGUGGAAAGUGCACACUGUGACGGUAUCUUACCAGAAAGGGACGGCUAACUACGUG
rnacentral:rRNA from 1 species